rnacentral:rRNA from 1 species
UUUGCCUACGGGAGGCAGCAGUGAGGAAUAUUGGUCAAUGGGCGGGAGCCUGAACCAGCCAAGCCGCGUGAGGGAAGAAGGUACAGCGUAUCGUAAACCUCUUUUGUCAGGGAACAAAGGCGGGGACUAGUCCCCGGAUGAGGGUACCUGAAGAAAAAGCAUCGGCUAACUCCGUGCCAGCAGCCGCGGUAAUACGGAGGAUGCGAGCGUUAUCCGGAUUUAUUGGGUUUAAAGGGUGCGUAGGCGGGCUUUUAAGUCAGCGGUAAAAAUUCGGGGCUCAACCCCGUCCGGCCGUUGAAACUGGG